CGAAAAAUUUAAAAUUAGCAGAAAAACCUAAAAUUGACGAUAAAUGCUAAAAUUGCCGACAAGCAAAAAAUCGACUAUAAACCCUAACAUCGCCAGAAAAACCCUAAAAUCAGCCAAAAACCCUAAAAUCGACUAUAAACUCUAAAAUUGUCCAAAAAUCCAAAAACUAUGCCGAAAAACCCAAAGUCGACCCUAAACCAAAAAAACUCGGCUGAAAACCUAAAAUCGGCCAAAAUCCCAAAAAUCAACUACAAAUCCUAAAAUAUGCCGAAAACCCAAAAAAUCGGCCAAAUAACUUAAAAUCGACCGAAAACCCCAAAAUUGGCAAAAAAAACCCUAAAAUCGACUAUAAACCAAUUGGCCGAAAAUCCAAAAAAUUUGCCGAAACACCUAAAAUCGACUGAAAACCCAAAAAAUCAGUGAAAAAACUAAAAUCGGCCAAAAACCCUAAAAUCGACUAUAAACCCUAAAAUUGGCAUAAAACCUAAAAAAUCGACCGAAAACCUAAAAUCGACCAAAAAUCUUAAAAUCGACUAUAAACCCUAAAAUUCGCAGAAAACCCAAAAAAUCGGCCGAAAACCCAAAAUCGACCAAAAAUCCUAAAACCGACUAUAAACCCAGUUUUCAUCCGAUUUAGGGUUUAAAGUCGAUUUUUGGGUAUUUUUAUCGAUUAUAGGUUUUUCGGUCGAUUUUAGGGUUUAUAGUUGAUUUUAGGGUUUUUGGCCGAUUUUAUGUUUUUCGGCCGAUUUUUUGUGUUUACGGUUGAUUUUAGGUUUUGGUCUGAUUUUUUGAGUUUUCGGCCGACUUUUUGAGUUUCAGGUCGAUUUUGAGUUUACGGUUAAUUUUAGGUUUUCGGCCGAUUUUUGGGUUUAGGGUCGAUUUGUUUAAGAUAAAUAAAAUUAAAUGAAGGAAAUUUAAUUACAUU
rnacentral:lncRNA from 1 species